rfam:Lingula anatina scaffold469, whole genome shotgun sequence.
GCCUCGGUAGCGUAGUAGGCAGCGCGUCAGUCUCAUAAUCAAUGAAGUAGAGUCAUCUGAAGGUCGUGAGUUCGAUCCUCACCCGGGGCA